GAUGAACGCUAGCGGGAGGCCUAACACAUGCAAGCCGAGCGGUAUUGUUUCUUCGGAAAUGAGAGAGCGGCGUACGGGUGCGGAACACGUGUGCAACCUGCCUUUAUCUGGGGGAUAGCCUUUCGAAAGGAAGAUUAAUACUCCAUAAUAUAUUGAACGGCAUCGUUUAAUAUUGAAAGCUCCGGCGGAUAGAGAUGGGCACGCGCAAGAUUAGCUAGUUGGUGAGGUAACGGCUCACCAAGGCGAUGAUCUUUAGGGGGCCUGAGAGGGUGAUCCCCCACACUGGUACUGAGACACGGACCAGACUCCUACGGGAGGCAGCAGUGAGGAAUAUUGGUCAAUGGGUGCAAGCCUGAACCAGCCAUCCCGCGUGAAGGACGACUGCCCUAUGGGUUGUAAACUUCUUUUGUAUAGGGAUAAACCUACCCUCGUGAGGGUAGCUGAAGGUACUAUACGAAUAAGCACCGGCUAACUCCGUGCCAGCAGCCGCGGUAAUACGGAGGGUGCAAGCGUUAUCCGGAUUUAUUGGGUUUAAAGGGUCCGUAGGCGGACUUAUAAGUCAGUGGUGAAAGCCUGUCGCUUAACGAUAGAACUGCCAUUGAUACUGUAAGUCUUGAGUAUAUUUGAGGUAGCUGGAAUAAGUAGUGUAGCGGUGAAAUGCAUAGAUAUUACUUAGAACACCAAUUGCGAAGGCAGGUUACCAAGAUAUAACUGACGCUGAGGGACGAAAGCGUGGGGAGCGAACAAGAUUAGAUACCCUGGUAGUCCACGCCGUAAACGAUGCUAACUCGUUUUUGGGCUUUAGGGUUCAGAGACCAAGCGAAAGUGAUAAGUUAGCCACCUGGGGAGUACGCUCGCAAGAGUGAAACUCAAAGGAAUUGACAGGGGCCCGCACAAGCGGUGGAUUAUGUGGUUUAAUUCGAUGAUACGCGAGGAACCUUACCAAGACUUAAAUGGGAAUUGACAGCUUUAGAAAUAGAGCUUUCUUCGGACAAUUUUCAAGGUGCUGCAUGGUUGUCGUCAGCUCGUGCCGUGAGGUGUUAGGUUAAGUCCUGCAACGAGCGCAACCCCUGUCACUAGUUGCCAUCAUUCAGUUGGGGACUCUAGUGAGACUGCCUACGCAAGUAGAGAGGAAGGUGGGGAUGACGUCAAAUCAUCACGGCCCUUACGUCUUGGGCCACACACGUAAUACAAUGGCCGGUACAGAGGGCAGCUACACAGCGAUGUGAUGCAAAUCUCGAAAGCCGGUCUCAGUUCGGAUUGGAGUCUGCAACUCGACUCUAUGAAGCUGGAAUCGCUAGUAAUCGCGCAUCAGCCAUGGCGCGGUGAAUACGUUCCCGGGCCU
rnacentral:rRNA from 1 species